AUGGAGUUGAGGGCAAUGGAAGGUGGAGAACAGCAGCCGCAGUCCAACGCCUCCAUGGCGAUGGCCAGCACUACGUACGUGCAUGUACGGACGCGACAUCUUCAGCGUGUCAGCAGCCUUGGGCACGGCGGCGUGGGUGGGGUAGGCGGGGUGGGCGGUGUCGGCGGGGUCUGCCCCCCGGGCGGUGUCGGCGGUGUCGGCGGAGUGGGCGGCGUGGGUGGGGUUGGAGGGCAAUGCUUGUCCGUGGGCAGCGACGGAUUCCCGGCCGCGGCGAGGGUGAAUAGUGCCAGGAGCAGCAGCAGCGGCACAAUGCGGUGGUUCCUGGCGGCCAUGGCUGGCAGCUUCUAG
rnacentral:rRNA from 1 species